CAGGCCUAACACAUGCAAGUCGAGCGGAUGAGAAGAGCUUGCUCUUCGAUUCAGCGGCGGACGGGUGAGUAAUGCCUAGGAAUCUGCCUGAUAGUGGGGGACAACGUCUCGAAAGGGACGCUAAUACCGCAUACGUCCUACGGGAGAAAGCAGGGGACCUUCGGGCCUUGCGCUAUCAGAUGAGCCUAGGUCGGAUUAGCUAGUUGGUGAGGUAAAGGCUCACCAAGGCGACGAUCCGUAACUGGUCUGAGAGGAUGAUCAGUCACACUGGAACUGAGACACGGUCCAGACUCCUACGGGAGGCAGCAGUGGGGAAUAUUGGACAAUGGGCGAAAGCCUGAUCCAGCCAUGCCGCGUGUGUGAAGAAGGUCUUCGGAUUGUAAAGCACUUUAAGUUGGGAGGAAGGGUCGUUACCUAAUACGUGGCGAUUUUGACGUUACCGACAGAAUAAGCACCGGCUAACUCUGUGCCAGCAGCCGCGGUAAU
rnacentral:rRNA from 1 species